rnacentral:lncRNA from 1 species
GCGGGUGGCAGACAUGGGAGAGACAGACAAGCUGCAAAGGGAAGUCGACAGAACAAAAUUAAAGUCCUACAACUGUGUUUAUUUCGGUGUAGAUGGGGGUUCCCCCCACCCCCCCACAUCAGCUUGCUCACAGAGGUGGGCGUGAGAACCUAUAGGAACGCUGGAAGAGAUCCUGGGAAAGUCGUUUUGCUCAGAAGCUGGAGGAGAAGCAAAAGGUCUUGCUGGGAGCUUUCCCUGUGAUCCUUUCAUAUCACUGAGAGCUUGAGAUGCUUGUGAGCCCAGGCAUACACUCGUGCACGCCCACACAAAGAGAAAUGGGAAAAGAGUGUUGGAGAUUGAGAAUAAUUCUGACUCAAACUCAAAUGCAAACAUUGUGCUCGAUGUUCAGAAAGGACCAAGAAUUGAGAUUAUAAAGAUGCCACAAAUGUUCAACAUAAGGAAAUAAAAGGAGACCAUUCAGGACUUUUAUUUGAUGG